rnacentral:rRNA from 1 species
GGACGAAAGUCUGACGCAGCGACGCCGCGUGGAGGAUGAAGGUUUUCGGAUCGUAAAACUCCUGUCAAGAGGGAAGAAACCUAUUAUGAAUAAUACUCAUAGUAAUUGACGGUACCUCUAGAGGAAGCACCGGCUAAUUCAGUGCCAGCAGCCGCGGUAAUACUGAAGGUGCAAGCGUUAAUCGGAAUCACUGGGCGUAAAGCGCUCGUAGGUGGCUUUGUAAGUCAGGUGUGAAAGCCCACGGCUCAACCGUGGAAUUGCACUUGAUACUGCAUCGCUAGAGUAUAGGAGAGGGAAGUGGAAUUUCUGGUGUAGGAGUGAAAUCCGUAGAGAUCAGAAGGAACACCCGUGGCGAAGGCGACUUCCUGGACUAUUACUGACACUGAGGAGCGAAAGCGUGGGGAGCAAACAGGAUUAGAUACCCCUGGUAG